rnacentral:rRNA from 1 species
CCCGCACAAGCGGCGGAGCAUGCGGAUUAAUUCGAUGCAACGCGAAGAACCUUACCAGGUCUUGACAUCCCGAUGCUAUUUCUAGAGAUAGAAAGUUACUUCGGUACAUCGGUGACAGGUGGUGCAUGGUUGUCGUCAGCUCGUGUCGUGAGAUGUUGGGUUAAGUCCCGCAACGAGCGCAACCCCUAUUGUUAGUUGCCAUCAUUCAGUUGGGCACUCUAGCGAGACUGCCGGUAAUAAACCGGAGGAAGGUGGGGAUGACGUCAAAUCAUCAUGCCCCUUAUGUCUUGGGCUUCACGCAUGCUACAAUGGCCGGUACAAAGGGCUGCGAUACCGCGAGGUGGAGCGAAUCCCAGAAAGCCGGUCUCAGUUCGGAUUGGGGUCUGCAACUCGACCCCAUGAAGUCGGAGUCGCUAGUAAUCGCAGAUCAGCAACGCUGCGGUGAAUACGUUCCCGGGCCUU